UAUAUACACAUAUACCUGCAGCUUCCUUUCAAACCCUCACGCGUUCGACGAAGAUUUUCAGCCACUUCAUUCCGUCAACCCUCUCACUAUCUCCCUCCCUCCGCCCGCCUAUCAAUUUCGAUCGCCGCUCUAUCUCCUCUCGAUCUCCUCCGGUAAGCCUUUCAAUCCCCGUGAUUUCGCAGGAGAGACGUGCGGAGGCAUCGGGUUGUCUGCUCUAGGGUUCUUGUGACUGGUCUGAUUGUUUCUGUGGCUGAAAUGCUAUUCUUCUUCUUUGAUCGAUUUGACGAUAAUCUCGUUUGUGUGUGAUUGAAUUCUGCCUGCGUGUUGAAACAACGACGUCUCUCUGUUGAUUGCGGUCUUUGUUCGUCCAAGCCGUCGAUAAUUUUAGGGUUUUGGGGGAUCUGUCUGAUUUGUCUGUGGUAUUGAAAGGAAAAACAAAAAAAGUGGGAGUGCAUUAGUUUUUCCGGUUAGGAUCUGUGUUUUGAAUCCGCAAUUUGAUUGAGGGGAGUCGUGGUUGCAAAUUAUAUGGCGACAGGAAAGGUCGACGUUUCUCGGAGAUGCAAUUAUUAUAGUCCUUCAGGAAGGGCACGUGAUCGGCGCCAGCAUGAGGUUAGCCAAAGAAAUCGGCACUAUAUCCCCUCAAAUGCCAUUGAGCACCAGAAGUUCCCAGAAGGGAGAGAACAGUUGCAUCAUGAGAAGAAACGGAAGUUCUCCCCUAUUAUAUGGGACCGAGAGGAUAAUCAGGCGAAGAAAACUCCAAGGUACGGAGAGGAGGAGGCCAAGGUAGUGCCAGAGAAACGAGUUGUUCCGGCGAGCAUUAUUUCAGCCAUCGUUAAGUCUCAAUCUGAGCCCUCAUCUGACGUCUCAGAUGGAUGCUUUUCUAAGUCUCCUGCAUCGAAGCAGCUGGGCCCUGGCUCUAAGCUUCUGGUCAUGUCACCUCAGAAGCACGACCAGAAGGAGGAUGUGGAGCACAGUGUGGUGGAGGAUGGGGAAUUGGUACAGGAAAGGAACCUCUUAAUGUCAAGGUGGGCCUCUGAAGAUGAAUCCCCUUGGGACAAGAGUGUGCCCGAUGAGGAUGAAAUGUUUGAACUUAAGGAUGGCUCAGGCACGAGUACUGAGUCUGGGGAGUUUCGAAUUGGGCGACCAGAUCAUUGGCCUGGAUCCUCUGGAGAGUUUGAUGGCAGUUGUGAAAGCCAGAAAGUUGCCAAACACGCUGGUCUCACAGAAUGUCCGGCUACCUAUGAUGAUUCAGGCGACUAUCUAAAUCAGUCAGACUCACGAAGUGAUGAGGAGUCUUCCGAGAUCGAAGAGUCUUGGUCUUCUUCACAGGGAAGAGUAAGCAUGCUUAAUUCUUGCAGGAGCGUCUUUGAGUUUGAAAGACUGAACAGAAUUAGUGAAGGCACCUACGGUGUUGUAUUUAGAGCAAAAGAGAAGAAGACUGGGGAAAUAGUAGCAUUGAAGAAGGUAAAGAUGAGCACAGCGUAUCCAGAACUGGGCUUUCCCCUCUCAGCGUUGAGGGAAAUAAACAUUCUUCUGUCUAUAAAUCACCCUUCCAUUGUAACUGUUAAGGAAGUUGUCAUGGAUGACCAUGAUAAUGUAUUUAUGGUCAUGGAGUACAUGGAACACGAUCUGAAGGGGUUGGUGGAAAUGAGGAAACGUCCUUUUAGUACCAGCGAAAUUAAAUGCUUGAUGCUUCAGCUGUUGGAUGGUGUGAAAUAUCUUCAUGACAAUUGGGUGCUUCAUCGAGACUUGAAGACAUCAAAUCUUCUCGUGAACAACAAGGGUGAGCUGAAGAUAUGUGACCUGGGAUUAUCACGGCAUUAUGGGAGUCCAUUGAAGCCCUGUACUCCUGUGGUUGUCACCAUGUGGUACCGGGCACCUGAACUGCUAUUGGAUGCCAAGGAGUAUUCCACAGCAAUUGACAUGUGGUCGGUGGGAUGUAUUAUGGCCGAGUUGUUAGCAAAUGAACCACUAUUUAAGGGAAGCAAUGAACCGAAUCAGCUCGACAAGAUUUUUAGGACACUUGGUACACCAAAUGAGAAAAUAUGGCCUGGGUUCUCUAAAUUGCCUGGGACUGCUAAAGCUAAAUUUGUUAAGCAUCCGUAUAACAAUUUGCGGAAGAAAUUCCCUGCGACAUCAUUCACAGGAUCUACUGUGCUGUCUGAAUCUGGAUUUGACUUGUUGAACCAACUUCUGACCUAUGACCCAGAGAAGAGAAUAACUGCAGACGAAGCAUUAAAUCACGCAUGGUUUCAGGAAGUACCUCUUCCAACCUGUAAAGAGUUAAUGCCCACUUUCCCUCCCCGACAUGCAGCAGCAGGCUUGUAGCUUACCUGAUGAUUGGACAGGAAGGAGCAAAUAUCUCUACCAUGCCUCCAAAAAUAUGUUUCUGCCUACUAACUCUUUCAAACCUCCAAUUUUUAGGUGCCUGAAAGGGUGGCAGCAGUGUGAAUUGAUCGUGAUAUGUGGCGAUGAGUCUGAUAAUCUCUAAGUUCUUAUCAUCCACCUUGCUACUAUUUCAUUCUUUGGUGAACCAUUAGAGGUUCCAAUCAGUGUAAAUAAUCUUAGACGACACAAAAGAUGAUGUUCGAACAUUUUAUGAUUUUCGUCUAAAGAAUUUCCUUUUAGUUUAUCUGAAUAUGUUCACUUAGUUUCUUGAAUAUUGCUCAGAUAGAGGAAGGUGUCAUCUUUGGUGUUUAAUGCAUGGAUUAAAGGGGUAUUCGAAAUUUCAAGGUGCUCCUUGUGGCUUUCUUUUAUUUGGAACAGUUUCAGUCUAUCCGCAGGGAGAGACGAAGUUCCUUUUGCGGUAUGGUUCGACCACCUUAGUACUUCUAUGACGCAAUUCUUAUGUUAUCAUUGAUCUGCGAUGCUAUCAUGGAACAGUUUUAAUAUCUUGCAACUUCCCUGGCGUGGUCAAAUUGUUGAGUGGUACGAGUCCCCUCGUCUUUGAUUGACUGUGUUGCACAUAUCAACUAUGAUAAAUGUUGUCUUAUCUUUGUGCUCGGACUUGUUAUUCUGUUUUGCUUAAUGUCGAGUUGGGCCACUGUCAAGGGAAUAAGCAUCUCUGCACAGGUGGACAGGAAAUUUCUGGCCUGUCGAGUUUUUUGUUUCGCUUGGUAGUCUUUCAGUCCGCGUCUUGAUGUUUGCUAGAGUUGUCCAUUUUAUUAUGGUGGCUCCAUGGGCAUGGGUCGCUUAAUGAUAUUUGUGACAGUAUUGCUUUAAGUCUGUUCAAAAGUAAUAUUUUCUGAGGAUCCGUUUUGACAGAACGACAGAGAUAUCUUUAGCAGUUUUAACUUACCGUAUUACAACUCUACAUAUCUGCUUCUAUUUGUAUUCUUUAAUCAAAAGGGUCGCGGAUACAAUGUAGAUUUAACUAAUUUCAUUGCAGCUUGUUUUCUUUAACCGUGCGAUGAUGUAAUUGAGCUGUAGUUAUUUUUCUGUCUUAAGAAACUAAUGUGUUGCUGCAAAGUUUUGCUCGGGGUUAGUACGAGGUACGUAAUGGCCUUCUUGCAGCACAUUCCAGCACCUCUACUGUGAGGGGAACUCAAUGCCCUUGCUAGGGAGAGAAGGUGCAAAUUUGCGGUGGCAUUUUUGAAUGUUUACGGGCCUCUGCAAGAUAUAGAAAGAAAAUUGAAAGGAGGCAUAAUAUUAAUGAGCUAGCGAGAAAUGGAGUGGGCUUUUAAGAUGGGGAGGAGAUCUGACGCAGGCCACAUAACUGACCGGGCCCCACGGGAGUCCUAGGCUCGGCCCAGAAAUUAAUACAACAUUAUAUUCGAAAUGGAAUCAUGCAUUGUGUAGAACUUUAAGAAAGUUUUCAGUUAGGUCCUGUAAUUGUAUUUGUGUUUCUAAGCAAGAAAUCCAACCGGGAAAUCAUCAACAGCUAACACGGACUCCCAAUAAAAAGCUAGCAAAGCAUUCAUGUCA